rnacentral:rRNA from 1 species
GAAAGGGGGAAAGCGUAACAAGGUUUCCGUAGGUGAAUCUGCGGAAGGAUCAUUACCACACCAAAAAACUAUCCACGUGAACGUAUACUAUUAUUAGACUGGCGCUACCCUCUCGGGGGUAGCUAGUCGAAGGUUUCGAAAGGAACCGAUGUAAAUUUAAUCCCUUUUAUCUAAUGCCUGAAUCAAUACGGCGUACAGAAAUGUAUGCUUUCAAUUGAGAUACAACUUUCAACAGUGGAUGUCUUGGCUCGCACAUCGAUGAAGAACGCUGCGAACUGCGAUACGUAAUGCGAAUUGCAGAAUUCAGUGAGUCAUCAAAAUUUUGAACGCAUAUUGCACUUCCGGGUUAGUCCUGGGAGUAUGCUUGUAUCAGUGUCCGUUAAUACAAAAUUGUUUCAUUGAUUUGAAGCAGACUGUGAAGCGUCUUGUUCUUGUGGCAAGUCCUUUCAAAUGAGUAUUACCUGCACGUCCUCGUGGCUUGUAUUAUAUAAAGGUAUAUACGGUUUCAAUUUCUUGAGUCUUGUGUGAAACAUGGGCCUUGAAGGUGGAAUGAAUUGCGGUAGUUUUGCUUGUACUUCGGUACGGGUGGAUCACAUAUUGCCUUUUGUUUUGCUUGACGGAUUUGUGUGACGCGCAUUAUUCGAUUUUGGAUAGUAUGUACUGGUACAUUCCUUGACGAGCGGAGGCAAAUUGGGAAACUAAUCCAAUUGGACCUGAUUCAAGCAAGAAUCCACGU